CAAGCAAGCACGGACGCCUAUCAGCCACCACCCUUCAUCUCACACCACAAGAUGCCCUGCUGGUGUUGCGGACCACAUACGCAACCCAAGUUGACAUGGUGCAUCUUCGCCAGGAAAUUCAAACAGCCAGCAUACUAUAAUACAGUCCACUGAAAUUUUGCUACAAUAGCUGGAGCACCAACCAACACUUGCCGCAAUCAUUUCCUAUUUUCAAAAGCGCCACGUAUUCACAUACAUAUACAGCUGGUCGUGGAACCACACAUUAAAGUAUAAGCAACAGCAUUGUCAAAGUUUCAGGUCGAUUAUACCACUGUGCGCCACCUAUGAACGGACAACGAAAGCAAGGAAAAAACAUCAAUUGAAGAAGGACCUGUCUACAUUUGGUGUAAAGAACUGGAUGAAGAAA